UACAGAGGGUGCAAGCGUUAUUCGGAAUUACUGGGCAUAAAGAGCGCGUAGGCGGUCUGAUAAGUCCGAUGUGAAAUCCCUGGACUCAAUCCAGGAAGUGCAUCGGAUACUGUCAGACUAGAGUACAGGAGGGGAGAGCGGAAUUCCUGGUGUAGAGGUGAAAUUCGUAGAUAUCAGGAGGAACAACAGUAGCGAAGGCGGCUCUCUGGACUGUUACUGACGCUGAGGCGGCGGAAAAGCGUGGGGAGCAAACAGGG
rnacentral:rRNA from 1 species